UACGGAGGGUGCAAGCGUUAAUCGGAUUUAUUGGGCGUAAAGAGCACGUAGGCGGAGUGAAAAGUUAGAUGUGAAAUCCCGGGGCUCAACUUCGGACCCGCAUCUAAAACUGUCAUUCUGGAGGAUGGACGGAGAAAAGGGAAUUCCACGUGUAGCGGUGAAAUGCGUAGAUAUGUGGAAGAACACCGGUGGCGAAGGCGCUUUUCUAGUUUAUUCCUGACGCUGAGGUGCGAAAGCAAGGGGAGCAAACAGG
rnacentral:rRNA from 1 species